rnacentral:ncRNA from 1 species
UUAAAAGCUAUGAAGAGCAGGGAGUACUGAUCCCCAGGUCCAAGAGAGCGUUCGGUUGGUGUGAGAACGUGACCCAUCGUCAGGAAAGUAAGCUCGGAGCUAUAGAUGCGACGAUUUGAAGUAUCUAUUGGGUGCCGCCAUUAUCAAGGCCAACGAAUCUGCCCACUGGGCAUGCUCGUUAAGACUACGAACAGUAGUAAAGACAAGGUGGUACCGUGCAUAUCAAUGCGCCCUUCGA